rnacentral:ncRNA from 1 species
GGCCGGAGAAGGCGUUCACGCCGCAUCCGGCAAUUUUGCGCCGAUUGUCUGAUGCUGCUCGCCGGAUGCGACGCUGGCGCGUCUUAUCCGGCC